rnacentral:rRNA from 1 species
AUGGCGUCGCGCCGNAGCGAUGCUCGGGCGCUCAUUGUAAAGAGAUCGAUGNUUCGCGGUUGUCCUUUCGGGUCUCGACAAUGAUCCUUUCCGUAGGUGAAC